rnacentral:rRNA from 1 species
AGGACGAACGCUGGCGGCGUGCUUAACACAUGCAAGUCGAACGGAUUCGUGGCACUUGUGUUGCGGGUUAGUGGCGAACGGGUGAGUAACACGUGAGUAACCUGCCCCAGACUCUGGGAUAACUCCGGGAAACCGGUGCUAAUACUGGAUAUGACAUCAAGCCGCAUGGUUAUGGUGUGGAAAGUUUUUCGGUCUGGGAUGGGCUCGCGGCCUAUCAGCUUGUUGGUGAGGUAGUGGCUCACCAAGGCGACGACGGGUAGCCGGCCUGAGAGGGCGAUCGGCCACACUGGGACUGAGACACGGCCCAGACUCCUACGGGAGGCAGCAGUGGGGAAUAUUGCACAAUGGGCGCAAGCCUGAUGCAGCGACGCCGCGUGAGGGAUGACGGCCUUCGGGUUGUAAACCUCUUUCAGCAGGGACGAAGCGCAAGUGACGGUACUGCAGAAGAAGGACCGGCCGAACUACGUGCCAGCAGCCGCGGUAA